CUCAGGACGAACGCUGGCGGCUUGCUUAACACAUGCAAGUCGAGCGGUAAGGCCCUUUCGGGGGUACACGAGCGGCGAACGGGUGAGUAACACGUGGGUAACCUGCCCUCAGCUCUGGGAUAAGCCCGGGAAACUGGGUCUAAUACCGGAUAUGACUCCGCAUCGCAUGGUGUGGGGUGGAAAGCCUUGUGCGGCUGAGGAUGGGCCCGCGGCCUAUCAGCUUGUUGGUGGGGUAGUGGCCUACCAAGGCGACGACGGGUAGCCGGCCUGAGAGGGCGACCGGCCACACUGGGACUGAGACACGGCCCAGACUCCUACGGGAGGCAGCAGUGGGGAAUAUUGCGCAAUGGGCGAAAGCCUGACGCAGCGACGCCGCGUGAGGGAUGACGGCCUUCGGGUUGUAAACCUCUUUCAGCUCCGACGAAGCCUUCGGGUGACGGUAGGGGCAGAAGAAGCACCGGCCAACUACGUGCCAGCAGCCGCGGUAAUACGUAGGGUGCAAGCGUUGUCCGGAAUUAUUGGGCGUAAAGAGCUCGUAGGCGGUUUGUCGCGUCGACUGUGAAAACUCAGGGGCUCAACUCCGAGCUUGCAGUUGAUACGGGCAGACUAGAGUUCGGCAGGGGAGACUGGAAUUCCUGGUGUAGCG
rnacentral:rRNA from 1 species